rnacentral:rRNA from 1 species
GGUCAAGUGACUAAGCGUGCACGGUGGAUGCCUUGGCAGUCAGAGGCGAUGAAGGACGUGGUAACCUGCGAUAAGGUUCGGUGAGUCGGUAAACAGACUUUGACCCGGACAUUUCCGAAUGGGGAAACCCACCCAGUAUAAGCUGGGUAUCUCUUAAGUGAAUACAUAGCUUUUGAGAGGCGAACCCGGGAACUGAAACAUCUAAGUACCCGGAGGAAAAGAAAUCAACCGAGAUUCCCCUAGUAGCGGCGAGCGAACGGGGACCAGCCCUUAAGCUACUUUAACGUUAGCAAAACACUCUGGAAAGUGUGGCCAUAGUGGGUGAUAGCCCCGUAUGCGAAAACGUUUUAGUAGUGAAAUCGAGUAGGACGGGACACGUGAUAUCCUGUCUGAAUAUGGGGGGACCAUCCUCCAAGGCUAAAUACUCCUGACUGACCGAUAGUGAACCAGUACCGUGAGGGAAAGGCGAAAAGAACCCCUGUGAGGGGAGUGAAAUAGAACCUGAAACCGUGUACGUACAAGCAGUGGGAGCGGUCCUUGAGACCGUGACUGCGUACCUUUUGUAUAAUGGGUCAGCGACUUAAUUUUAGUAGCAAGGUUAACCGUAUAGGGGAGCCGUAGGAAACCGAGUCUUAAUAGGGCGUGCAGUUGCUAGGAUUAGACCCGAAACCGAGCGAUCUAUCCAUGGGCAGGUUGAAGGUUGAGUAACAUCAACUGGAGGACCGAACCGACUACCGUUGAAAAGUUAGCGGAUGACCUGUGGAUCGGAGUGAAAGGCUAAUCAAGCUCGGAGAUAGCUGGUUCUCCUCGAAAGCUAUUUAGGUAGCGCCUCGUGUCUCACCAUUGGGGGUAGAGCACUGUUUCGGCUAGGGGGUCAUCCCGACUUACCAACCCGAUGCAAACUCCGAAUACCAAUGAGUGCAAUCACGGAGACACACGGCGGGUGCUAACGUCCGUCGUGAAAAGGGAAACAACCCAGACCGUCAGCUAAGGUCCCAAAGUUAUGGUUAAGUGGGAAACGAUGUGGGAAGGCUUAGACAGCUAGGAGGUUGGCUUAGAAGCAGCCACCCUUAAAGAAAGCGUAAUAGCUCACUAGUCGAGUCGGCCUGCGCGGAAGAUAUAACGGGGCUCAAACCAUACACCGAAGCUACGGACGCUGUUUACAGCGUGGUAGAGGAGCGUUCUGUAAGCCGUUGAAGGGAAAGCUGUAAGGCAUCCUGGAGGUAUCAGAAGUGCGAAUGCUGACAUGAGUAACGAUAAGGGGAGUGAAAAACUUCCCCGCCGGAAGACCAAGGGUUCCUAUCCAAUGCUAAUCAGGGUAGGGUGAGUCGACCCCUAAGGCGAGGCUGAAGAGCGUAGUCGAUGGAAACAGGUUAAUAUUCCUGUACUUCUUGUUAUUGCGAUGGAGUGACGGAGAAAGCUAGGCCAGCACGGCGUUGGUUGUCCGUGUUUAAGGUUGUAGGUUUAGGACUUAGGAAAAUCCGGGUCCUUCUAGACUGAGAAUUGAUGACGAGCCCUCUUUUGGGUGAAGUGGUUGAUGCUAUGCUUCCAGGAAAAACUUCUAAGCUUCAGAUAACAAGAAAUCGUACCCCAAACCGACACAGGUGGUCAGGUAGAGAAUACCAAGGCGCUUGAGAGAACUCGGGUGAAGGAACUAGGCAAAAUGGUACCGUAACUUCGGGAGAAGGUACGCCGGUGCUGGUGAUGGGACUUGCUCCCUAAGCUGGCGCUGGUCGAAGAUACUAGGUGGCUGCGACUGUUUAUUAAAAACACAGCACUCUGCAAACACGAAAGUGGACGUAUAGGGUGUGACGCCUGCCCGGUGCUUGAAGGUUAAUUGAUGGGGUUAGCUUCGGCGAAGCUCUUGAUCGAAGCCCAAGGUAAACGGCGGCCGUAACUAUAACGGUCCUAAGGUAGCGAAAUUCCUUGUCGGGUAAGUUCCGACCUGCACGAAUGGCGUAACGAUGGCCACACUGUCUCCACCCGAGACUCAGUGAAAUUGAAAUUGCGGUUAAGAUGCCGUAUAUCCGCGGCUAGACGGAAAGACCCCGUGAACCUUUACUAUAGCUUCGCAGUGGACUUUGAUAUUACUUGUGUAGGAUAGCUGGGAGGCUUUGAAAUCUGGACGCCAGUUCAGAUGGAGCCAAUCUUGAAAUACCAGCCUGGUACUAUUGAGGUUCUAACUCAGGUCCCUUAUCGGGAUCGAGGACAUUGUGUGGUGGGUAGUUUGACUGGGGCGGUCUCCUCCCAAAGAGUAACGGAGGAGUACGAAGGUGCGCUCAGCAUGGUCGGAAAUCAUGCAUCGAGUAUAAAGGCAUAAGCGCGCUUGACUGCGAGACAGACACGUCGAGCAGGUACGAAAGUAGGUCUUAGUGAUCCGGUGGUUCUGUAUGGAAGGGCCAUCGCUCAACGGAUAAAAGGUACUCCGGGAUAACAGGCUGAUACCGCCCAAGAGUUCACAUCGACGGCGGUGUUUGGCACCUCGAUGUCGGCUCAUCACAUCCUGGGGCUGAAGCCGGUCCCAAGGGUAUGGCUGUUCGCCAUUUAAAGUGGUACGCGAGCUGGGUUUAGAACGUCGUGAGACAGUUCGGUCCCUAUCUGCCGUGGACGUUUGAGAUUUGAGAAGAGUUGCUCCUAGUACGAGAGGACCGGAGUGAACGAACCUCUGUGUUCGGGUUGUCAUGCCAAUGGCAUUGCCCGGUAGCUAUGUUCGGACAGGAUAACCGCUGAAAGCAUCUAAGCGGGAAGCCCCCUUCAAGAUGAGAUCUCACUGGGGCCUUGAGCCCCCUGAAGAGCCGUUCAAGACCAGGACGUUGAUAGGCUGGGUGUGUAAGCGUUGUGAGGCGUUGAGCUAACCAGUACUAAUUGCUCGUGAGGCUUGACCAU